rnacentral:rRNA from 1 species
UAUGGAAGCUUGCUUCCGCUGAGAAGAUAGUGGCGAACGGGUGAGUAACACGUGGGUAACCUGCCCAUAAGAGGGGGAUAACAUCCGGAAACGGGUGCUAAUACCGCAUAGUUUUCUUGAUCGCAUGAUUGAGAAAGGAAAGACGGCCUUUGUGCUGUCGCUUAUGGAUGGACCCGCGGCGUAUUAGUUAGUUGGUGAGGUAACGGCUCACCAAGACGAUGAUACGUAGCCGACCUGAGAGGGUGAUCGGCCACAUUGGGACUGAGACACGGCCCAAACUCCUACGGGAGGCAGCAGUAGGGAAUCUUCCGCAAUGGACGAAAGUCUGACGGAGCAACGCCGCGUGAGUGAAGAAGGUUUUCGGAUCGUAAAACUCUGUUGUCAGAGAAGAACAAGUCGGAGAGUAACUGCUCCGGCCUUGACGGUAUCUGACCAGAAAGCCACGGCUAACUACGUGCCAGCAGCCGCGGUAAUACGUAGGUGGCAAGCGUUGUCCGGAUUUAUUGGGCGUAAAGCGAGCGCAGGCGGUUCCUUAAGUCUGAUGUGAAAGCCCACGGCUC